CCAAAGCUCCGAUUUUUUGACGAGCGCAUCUAUUAGAUUAAAACCAAUCGGGUUUCGGCCCGUCAAUUGGUGACUCUGAAUAACUAUGGCUGAUCGCAUGGUCUUGAACCGGCGACGUGUCUAUCAAGUGUCUGCCUUAUCAACUGUCGAUGGUAGUUUAUGUGCCUACCAUGGUUGUAACGGGUAACGGAGAAUAAGGGUUCGACUCCGGAGAGGGAGCCUGAGAAACGGCUACCACAUCCAAGGAAGGCAGCAGGCGCGCAAAUUACCCACUCUCGGCAUGAGGAGGUAGUGACGAAAAAUAACGAGACCGUUCUCUCUGAGGCCGGUUAUCGGAAUGGGUACAAUUUAAACCCGUUAACGAGGAUCUAUGAGAGGGCAAGUCUGGUGCCAGCAGCCGCGGUAAUUCCAGCUCUCAAAGUGUAUAUCGUCAUUGCUGCGGUUAAAAAGCUCGUAGUUGGAUCUGCGCCUCAGGACUUGGUCCGCCCACUGGGCGAGAACUGGGCUCCUGGGCUAGUACUGCUGGUUUUCCCUACGUUGCCUUCAUCGGUCGCGUAGGGUGGCUAGCGAGUUUACUUUGAAAAAAUUAGAGUGCUUCACGCGGGCUUAUGUCUGAAUACUCGUGCAUGGAAUAAUAGAAUAGGAUCUCGGUUCUAUUUUGUUGGUUUUCUGAUCUGAGAUAAUGGUUAAGAGGGACGGACGGGGGCAUUCGUAUCGCUGCGUGAGAGGUGAAAUUCUUGGACCGUAGCGAGACGUCCGACUGCGAAAGCAUUUGCCAAGAAUGUCUUCAUUAAUCAAGAACGAAAGUCAGAG
rnacentral:rRNA from 1 species